rnacentral:rRNA from 1 species
AAAUUGAAGAGUUUGAUCAUGGCUCAGAUUGAACGCUGGCGGCAGGCCUAACACAUGCAAGUCGAGCGGUAGCACAGAGAGCUUGCUCUCGGGUGACGAGCGGCGGACGGGUGAGUAAUGUCUGGGAAACUGCCUGAUGGAGGGGGAUAACUACUGGAAACGGUAGCUAAUACCGCAUAAUGUCGCAAGACCAAAGUGGGGGACCUUCGGGCCUCAUGCCAUCAGAUGUGCCCAGAUGGGAUUAGCUAGUAGGUGAGGUAACGGCUCACCUAGGCGACGAUCCCUAGCUGGUCUGAGAGGAUGACCAGCCACACUGGAACUGAGACACGGUCCAGACUCCUACGGGAGGCAGCAGUGGGGAAUAUUGCACAAUGGGCGCAAGCCUGAUGCAGCCAUGCCGCGUGUGUGAAGAAGGCCUUCGGGUUGUAAAGCACUUUCAGCGGGGAGGAAGGCGAUAAGGUUAAUAACCUUGUCGAUUGACGUUACCCGCAGAAGAAGCACCGGCUAACUCCGUGCCAGCAGCCGCGGUAAUACGGAGGGUGCAAGCGUUAAUCGGAAUUACUGGGCGUAAAGCGCACGCAGGCGGUCUGUCAAGUCGGAUGUGAAAUCCCCGGGCUCAACCUGGGAACUGCAUUCGAAACUGGCAGGCUAGAGUCUUGUAGAGGGGGGUAGAAUUCCAGGUGUAGCGGUGAAAUGCGUAGAGAUCUGGAGGAAUACCGGUGGCGAAGGCGGCCCCCUGGACAAAGACUGACGCUCAGGUGCGAAAGCGUGGGGAGCAAACAGGAUUAGAUACCCUGGUAGUCCACGCCGUAAACGAUGUCGAUUUGGAGGUUGUGCCCUUGAGGCGUGGCUUCCGGAGCUAACGCGUUAAAUCGACCGCCUGGGGAGUACGGCCGCAAGGUUAAAACUCAAAUGAAUUGACGGGGGCCCGCACAAGCGGUGGAGCAUGUGGUUUAAUUCGAUGCAACGCGAAGAACCUUACCUG